rnacentral:rRNA from 1 species
UACAGAGGGUGCGAGCGUUGUCCGGAAUCACUGGGCGUAAAGGGCGCGUAGGUGGCGGCCCAAGUCCAUGGUGAAAGCUCGAUGCUCAACAUCGAGUCGGCCACGGAUACUGGGUUGCUCGAGCACUGUAGGGGCAGAUGGAAUUCCGGGUGUAGCGGUGGAAUGCGUAGAGAUCCGGAAGAACACCGGUGGCGAAGGCGGUCUGCUGGGCAGUGCUGACACUGGAGGCGCGACAGCGUGGGGAGCAAACAGG